UGUAAAAGGUUCGGGGUUUUGUUUAACCAUUUCUGCAUGUGUUUUUAAUGAGCUCAUGAUGGUUUCGAACAAAGGCCAGGUUGUGUGUUUUUACAGCAUUUUCUGACCUGAUUCCUCCCUGCUGACUUGGGGAGUGGGCACCUGUGCUUCUCUCCUGGCUCACCUAUGGGAGCCGAGGUGUUGGGGCCAUCUCCGGGCCUGUCUUCCUGCCAGGGAUGAAUCAUGCAGAAGGCAGAAGGGAAGGAGUCUCUUUGUUGACAGCUUUCCAUCUGGACUUUGGAUAUGGCUGAUGGUUCAUGUAGAGCUUUGUUUAGCUGGAAGGCCCAAUGGAAGUCAGCUCCUCUGCAAGGGGUCAAGAAUGUGUAAAACAUCAGUGAGGAACUGCCUAGGAUUUCAUCUGCAAGGCUCAGAGAAGCAUUUGCCUCUCUGAGUUUCAGGAACCCAGAUGCUCCAAACCCCAAUGCCCCGGGCAUGCUAUUGUUCAAUGGGAGAAUAGGAGCGAGGAGAAGGGUAACUAUUUCUUUCUGUGUGUGUGUGUGAAUCUGGAGGAACUAGACUCAUCUCUGGGAUUCAGUGAUAAGCCAGAAUUCCACACAGUCUCUUUUUCAAGGAGGAAAAAUGCCCCUGAAACUGAACUUCUCGAAACUGAACAAAGGUGUCAUCUCUAAUGAUUAGCAGGACGCUCAGAUUGUUUGCACCGAAAUCCACCUGCUCUGUGAAAACCCCAGGAUUUUCUCACUUUCCCACUCAAGCUGCUUAGCGACUGGGCCCUCUCUCCCGAGCGUGGUUGUGUGUCAGUUUGGCGUCUGUGUGCCCUGCCAUUUCAUUAUUUUCUUGUGCCCUUCCACAACAAAUGAGCAGGAGUGGGGCGGGGCGGGGCAGCCUGCUGACAGAGGGGGACAGGCCCCCGUAUCCAUCUUACAGUCCUGCCAUGGGCUGCCUGUCCUUCUAGACAGGAGUCCUUGGAGGCAUUCCUAGGUGUGUUUUGAACGUGUGCCCGAGGCUUGGGAAAGCCUCGUGCGGCUCUGCUGCUGCGUGGGGUGGAGGUUUGAGGGGGUGGACUGCAGCAGCGUGAGGCUUGUGUGUGCAGAGGGGACAUGAGGACAUCUGGACUGCCUCCCUGUGAGCAGGGCUCCCGCUGCAGGCCUUUGAAAACUCGGCCACAACAGCCCCCAGCGCCUUGGAACUUUCUCCCUGGAGGAUGUAGAAGAGCCAGUGCCCUUGAUUUCUUGGAUGUCCACAGACUUGACCCAGGCAGGGCUGCCCAGGAGCAGUCAGGGUCAGAGUGAGGGCUUGGGAGCAUUCCACAAAGUGCCUGUUUCCGAGAGCCUGGAACUGGGAGUGAGGGGGUGACAUGGGCUUUGCCCUCAAGUCCUCUGCUAACUAGCUGUGCGUUCCUGAACAAGUGACUUCAUCUCUUCAUCUUUAAAGUAAACCUUUUGGGGCAAAUGACUUUAAGGUUCUUGCCAGCUCUAAAUUCUUGGGAUUUUUUUUUUACCUGUUUAACUGAAAUGCUGAUCGAACUUGGGCUAGGAACAAAGAAAUACUUUCCAAUUAGAGUAGAAAUGGUGACUAAUAUGCUGCUCAGGCUUCUGAGGCUCCUUGUGAUCAAAGACACACUCAUUCUGAUAAAGGGGGGUCAUGGGCCUGGCUGGGGAGCGUUUCCACCAGCCUGUGGGUUUUAAUAUCUAACUACAUUUAUGCCUGUGGAUGGUAGCCACGUGCUAGACACGUGCUUUCUUGCCUUUGGUCAAGUCCAAUGGGUUUUGGGUUAAUUUUUAUUUUUUAGUAGAAGAAACCCAGAGAUCCUAAAUAGAAGGCAAGAGCUUAUUUAGUUGCACAUUUUUUUAAAUCCCUAAACACCUGCUGUUAAGAAAGGUGAUGGGGACAGUAUCACCUUUGUUCUUGUUGGUGGUGGUUAUUUUAACUAGCAAUGAACAAGGACAGACUCCUCCUGAGAGGCUUCCUAGCUAGGGAGUCAUUCCCAUUAGCCCCAUUAGCAAAGUGGUUUUCUGUCUGUUCAGCUGCCUCACAGUCUUGGUUGGACAGCUCCCUGCCACCUUCCAACACAGGAGCUUGCCUACAAAAAGGCUAACUCUGGUAGAAAGCAGCUUCAACCAGAAGGGGACACCCCAAAGACCAUUGCUAUGGAUGUGGUUCAUGGGAUGUGGAGCGUCCAAAUGCAUUGCUGACGGGCCUAAAGAUCAGAGAUCACCUGAGUAAGGUAGAGACUGUGUCACACUUGCAAAUGAACAUUCAAAUCACACAAGACCAAAUUGUUAGUGGCAAUCAUAAAAAUGCCACCGUCCGCCAUCCGCAGCCAGGCCCCUCACCUCAUCCUUCCCUUUAUUUCAAGCGUGUACUUAAUCCAUUUCAGUAUGAAGGAAACCUCUACCCGUGCUGUGCGAAGAAACAGUCCAAGAGGAUGAUUGUGGACUCAUUUGCAUAAGAGUCUAACUCAAAUAUUUUCACUUUAAUUUUUUUUUUUUUUUCAUGCUGGAGUCACAAAGUAAAAGGGUUGAGGAAUUCAAGAUUAGCAUGUAAGUGAGACUGAAAUAGGACUAUGUUCUCAUAUUAGUUAAAACUCUUUGGUUUCAAGGAAGAGAAAUCCAACUUAAGCGAGUUGAAGCCAAAAAAGAAUUUUAUUAUAAGGCUCUUGGACUCCUGGGAAUCCAAAAGAGGAAUAUAGAUAGGCCUCUCCAGCAGCUAGAAGUAGGAGCUCAAAGGCUGUCUGGAUGUGCUCUCCCCUCCGAGCCGCUGACUCUCUUUCUGCUGAUUGGCAUUUUCUAUUCCUCAGUCCACAUGGUGGAACAGGGCUGCCAACUGCUGCUGCAUUUAUAAGUCUUCAUCUUCAGACACCCGGAGAGAGACUGACUUCUUUUGUCAGUUGCAGUUUCCAAAUCCUGGGCGAGGGCUCUGAUUGGCCUGCUUGGAUCAGGUGCUCCUCUCUUGACCAAUGGUCGGUGCCAAGGGCGAGGCCCAUUGUACCUCCAGGCAGUCCCCUGUGGGCCUCAUGUCGUUGAGGACACAUGUGUGUGUGCAGGGGCCAGGGAGCAGCUCCCAGGAGACUGGGAGAUGGUUCCCUGAGAUGAGGCUGGUGUUGAGCUGACAAAACAAUAGGGACCCAUUACGUUGCUCAAUUAAAAUGAAAGGGAAGCCAUGGGAAAAUAGGAUUCACUUGGAAGUGAAAAUAACGUAUUCUCCCUGUGGUCAAACAGCACUUCAUUUGUAAUCUAUGGCCAAAUGGCUAAGUGAAAUAGUACUGUAUGUUUUAAAGGAUUGUAAAAUUUUAAUGAAUUUUCAUUUAACUUGUUACAGCUAAUCUUCCUCCCUUGUCAUUUCAUAAUUUAGGGGCAUGUUCAUCUAUAUUUUUCUGAAAGCCUGAGCUGGCUGGUCCUGCUGAAGCCAUGGAACUCAAUGGUUGAGCUUACCUCUCAGCUACUUAAUACCCACGCAGGUGCCGUGUGGGCGGGGCAGGGCUGGUGGGACAGCAGAACACACACACACACACACACACACACACAAAGAAGACCUUUUCCCCUUUUUCUUUGUUUGGGACACGCAGAGAUGCUGUGUUAAUGAAGAGCCCUGCAUUGCAGCAGGUGUGAAAUGUGCUCUGUCCACCUGGGGACACAAGAAUCAGUGAGGCAAGAGCCCCAUGGUUGGUUAAUGUGCAUGAGGCCCUCAGAGCCCAAGCACCUACAGGUUAUCACCCAGGGUAUUAGCUACCAGCAAAGCCGCACUAACCCUCUCCUGUGCUUCCAGCGCCACCCUCCUGACACACAUCUGUCUCCUGGAAGGAGAAGCUGAGCCUCAGGGAGAGGACCACGUGUUUGUUUUAAAUGGCAAACACAGCCGGUUUGGGUGUGUGGCUCACCACUCCAUAGGUAUUCAUUUUCCCAUUGCUAAAGUUGCAAAGCAAUCAGAAGAAUGAUGGGUAAGAGAUUGAAGGAAGCUCCUGAUCAGAGUUAGAUCCUCAAGGUCAAGGUAGAGAAGCAUUGAUUCAGGAUGUCACAGAUUGUAGAAAACAAGGAUGGACAUUUGAGGCACUCUGGACUUUGGGCUUGCUUUUUCUGCUCAAAUUAUUGUGAUUUGUAUUCCGGAGAUUUUAGGCACUGACAAAAGAUGCUGUCUCCAGCCUUUGUUGAUCUCUCUCUCCACCUGCCUGCCUCAUGGAGAGGGUGCAGGUCCUGGCCUCACCACUUCAUGGCUGUGUGAACUUAGGCAUGUGACAGACUCAGUUCCUCACUAAAAUAGAGAUUUCAGCCACUCCCUCUGAGAAGGGCAAUGAGGACUGGUGAGUUGAUACCUUUCAGGUGACAGCAAACGACCUCAGACUAGCUUGGGAAAGAAGGGAGUCUAUGAACUCACAUAACCAGCAAUCUGGAAGUGGCAAUGGCCUCGGGUAUGAAUGGAUACAGGGACUCAGGUGAUAAUAUUAAAGUUCUCCCCUUCUGUGUUUCCUGUCUCCAUCCCAUCUUCGUGAGGUUACUUCUGUAUUUCCUGCUGGAAAUGGGCAGGCUUUCUUCACAUGACAGGGGCAGAAAGAGGCCGAGAGAAAGAGUUGAAGGGCUGAAGCACAGAAGAGGGAGAUUUUACCCAGAAGUCAACAAUAGGUUCUAUUCCUGGGUUCCUGCCUAGGAAAAGCAAAUGUAAGGUGGGUGGGAAAACAGUGAUAAGAUAAAGGGAAAAUAUUUAUUAGGCGAUGACUGCACACUUGACCCAGAGGAUACAGCAGUCCCUGGCCUCAUGGAACUUCCCCCCUGCUAACAAAACAAUGAAACAAAAAUGGUCAUAAACUAUCACACUGUUGUAAAAGCAAAGUACACAGCAAGUAGGACCUCACUGAAAAGGGGGUCCAGCCUGAUGAUGUGCAGGAGAAAACUUAUAGGAGGAAGCAAUAGUAAAAUAGAGUUUAGACUUGGCGCCUGGGGCUCGAGCGGCUAGGGCACCAGCCACAUACACCUGAGCUGGCAGGUUCGAAUCCAGCCCAGCCCCGCCAAACAACAAUGACGGCUGCAACCAAAAAAUGGCCAGGUGUUGUGGCAGGUGCCUGUAGUCCCAGCUACUGGGGAGGCAGAGGCAGGAGAAUCGCUUGACCCCAGGAGUUGGAGGUUGCUGUGAGCCGUAAUGCCACAGCACUCUACCCAGGGUGACAGCUUGAGGCUCUGUCUCAAAAAAAAAAAAAAAAAAGAAAGAAAGAAAGGAAAAUAGUUUAGCCUAUAAAUAAGAGGGUGGAAGAGUGUUCUGGGGGAGGGAUCAGCAAGAAGACAAGAAAGAGAACAAGGCAGAUUUGAGGAACCUGUUCGAUCUUUCUCUGUUCAGUCCUCCUGACUAGAGCACUGGGGGGCCGGGGG